rnacentral:lncRNA from 1 species
UGGUAAUACUGAGUCAGGAACUCUAACAUAAUACAUGUAAUGAUCACAAGGAUCGAAUAUACAAUACUGUUCUAAUAAGAGUUGACAGUACAAUAACAUGGAAUGACUCCAAGGGACUGCGAUGACCAAGCAGCUCUACCUGGAAUCCUUGCGAUCAACACACUAACUCUGUCCGAGACCGAUAUCUCCAAUACCUGGCUCCACACAAAAAUGUGUAGAAGUGUAGUAUGAGUACACCACAGUCGAUACCCAGUAAGUAUCAAGACUAACCUCGAUAGAGUAGUGACGAGGUACAGUCAAGACACUCACUAGUCUAAUAACCUGUGCAAUAUCGUAUACAAAAAUAAUAAAAAACAAAUAGCAGUGAUAGCAACAAUAAUCAACUAGUGAUGUAAACAACAAGGCAACAAGAACACCAUAAAUAUUGAUCAAACAAAUAAUGAACACAAGUACAACCAAUUAAUCAACUCCUUCAAAUAUAAAUCUCUCACCUAUAAGUUUUCAAAUAUAAACCUUUCGAAUAUAAUUUUUCAAAUAAAUAUAUUUCGAAUAUACUCCCUUCAAAUAAAUAUUUUUCGAAUAUAAUUCUUUCAAAUAAAUAUCUUUCGAAUAUAAUUCUUUCAAAUAAAUAUCUUUCGAAUAUAAUUCUUUUCAAAUAAAAGUCACCCCGUGACACCCCAUUUCAUAAUCAUAAAAUACGAGUCUUAGCCCACUUACAUAUUUUCACGGCACCUCGUGCCCAUGUUUCUAUCACAACCACACGUACAACUCACGUACCAAAAUAUCAAAGUAUAUAUGAUCCGCAGGAUUAAUUUAUUUUCAAUAAAGUAAGUUUAUAAUUUUUAAAUCAAGUAAGAAAUCAACAAAGAAAUGAAUUUAUUUUUUUAGAAAUCGUUUGGGUGAAGAUAAUAACCUUUCAAUUAAAACGAAGCACCAGAUAGCUACUGUAUUGGAUGUAAAACUUAUUAAAUCAAAACAUGGCAGCAUUUCUUUUAUUCAAAACAACUCAACCUCGAAAACCAGUAAAAACCAGAAACACAAAUCCUUAGAGUCUCGUACGAAGAACCAAAGCCAACACAUUAUAACAAGAAAUACAAAACACAUAAUAAAAUAAUACUUCACGGAAGAACACAAGGAAUUACCUACCACGGAAAAAUAAAAUAACCAAAGGCAAGUGCAGCCAUAGAGAAAUAUCAACAAAGGGCACUCCCGAGGUACCGCCUCGUAGUCCCAAAUCAUAAAUAUAUUUUUACAAAGGUCACUCCCAAAGUACUGGCUCGUAGUCCCAAAUUAUAAAUAAAUUUACAAUCUUUCCUUAUAUCACCGCGGGAGCCUUCACAUUUAGUUUUAAAAAUUAUUUUUUCCGAAAUAGCAUCCCGUGUUUUAGUCACCCUUAUCACACUGCAUGACUUCUAGUAAUUCCCCUACUAGCCACGCGUAUCAAGCCCACCUUAUCUUACCGAAUGCGUUUCAACACCCUGGACUUAUAUCACCGCAUGCGUAUCAAUAUCACAAUAUUUUAUAAAUUACACCUCAAGUGCUAAAAUAUCACAGCAUAACAUAGCUUACACCUCAAGUGCUCAAAUAUCAAAACAUAUUACAAAUUGCACUUCAAGUGCUCAAAUAUCACAACAUAUCACAAAUCGCACAUCAAGUUCUCAAUUAUCACAACAUAUCAUAAAUUGCACAUCAAGUGCUCAAAUAUCACAACAUAUUACAAAUUGCACCUCAAGUGCUCAAAUAUCACAACAUAUUAAAAUUUUAUCUCAAGUGCUCAAAUAUCACAACUUGCCACAGAAAUCGACAAUAAUAUUAUUUUCCAUAAUAAGGAGCCCACGGCUCGAUCAUAAUGUGUACAACAUCUUAACAAAAUAUUCGGGAGUGAACAACUCAACCAAAUAAUACUUUACAAUUUAGCACGUUGCCUUAGUAUGAUUCACGGCCUUUAUAAUUCAAUACCAAAUUUUCAACAACAUGAACUGAAAAGUAAUUCAUCAAGGAACAAUACCUCUUUUAAAUCACAACUUCAGGAAAUAAAUAGAUUUAUUCAUCUUGUAAACUAAAUUUCCCAUUUAAAUUAUUUAUAGAUAAAAUCAAUAAUGAAAGUAUUUUCCAUAAAAAUGGCAACUCAAACAAACACAGAGUUCACAUAAAAGUCAAGUGGCAAUCACACCAAAUUAUCAAUAUAAAAAGAACCNNNNNNNNNNNNNNNNNNNNNNNNNUCCAAGAUUCUUACCUUUUGAAGUUAGGCCUAUAUUCCAAAAUGGCCUUCUCACGUGAACUGACCUCCGGACGGCUCCAAUCUUUCUUGAGCUUUCUUUACAUUACUAAGAUGUUCCGAAAAUCCUAGCAACUUCAAUCUAUUUAGAAACAUAAUAAAAGUGAACCAUUUUUAGGAAGAUACUCGUGGGUUCACCUCAUUUAAGCAUUUCAUCAAACACUAGGUGUGCAAAUUUGAUUACAAGGUUCUUCCAUAAGAUUUCCUUCACUCCACAACCCACUCUUUGCCCAUUUGAGCUCAACAAUCUUCUCAAAAACCUUAUUGGUACAUGCAUGUAUAAAUAAUACUCUCAUACCCAAGUAUCAUACUCCCAAUCACCCAUCUUCUACCCAAACUCGAAAUUGAUGACUAGGGUUAGAAUCUUAUCUCUUGGGUGAAAAUCUUGUGAGCUUUCUUAUUGAAUUUCAAGGCUUGAGCAAGAUUUUGAUGAACAAUUAGCUUAAGAAUUUCUCCUCUCACUUUAGUUCAUUUUCUCUCUCUAAAAAUAUCAGAUAUUCCCUUCAAACAUGGUCUAUUGCGUCUAUUUAACGAGAUAGGGCCGGGUUACAAAGAUAGAAGAAUGGACCCUCCAAAUUCCAGACCAGGCUAGGCACGCUCUGUAGCGAGCUACAGACCAGGCUUCGCGAGCUCUGUAGCGAGCUAAAUACCAGGCUUCGCGAGCUCUAUAGCGAGCUACAGACUUGGCUUCGUGAGGGAUAUAACAUGGUCUAGCGCGCUACAGACCUGGCUUCGUGAGGUCGAAAUGAUUCAACUCCCCAACACACUGUUCAACCCAAAAAGUCCGAAAAUACAAUACAUUAGCCUACCUUGGCACCACGAAACCUUAAAUUUCUUGGCGAAAGUUUACGGGGCAUUACAGUAUGUAGCUUAGAGCUUCAUUCUAUGUUCAGUCGUGUAAAUUCAAAAGAUAUAUAUUGCCCCGAUCGUUUUCCAAAUAAAGUAUGAUGAAAGUAAUUCAUUCAACCUACACUUGAAAAUCGGGCUUAAAUAUCAUUCUUCUGUUGAACUUUGGAUCUCAUAUGACUUAUAGGGGGAAAUCCUCCAUGGUAAACAUGUGUCUUCAAUGGGACUAUUAUAGUCUUUUAGGAGGCUACCAAGUAUUUUCACUGAAAUUCAGGGGUUCACAAUGUCUUCAUGUUCUCCAAAUCUUUAAAUCCGUCGAUCUUCAAGUUCGCUGCUCUUCAAGUUGAAAUAUUUGAGCCCUAAAAGUCUUCAAGUUGAAGUCUUCAAGUCUGUCAGUCUUCAAGUUGAAGUCCUCAAAUUCACCGGUCUUCAAGUUGAAAUAUUUAAGCCCUCCAAGUCUUCAAGUUGAAGUCCUCAAGUCCGUCGGUCCUCAAGUUGAAGUCCUCAAGUCCGUCGGUCUUCAAGUUGAAGUCCUCAAAUUUGCCGAUCUUUAAGUUUAGUUGUUUAAGCCCUCCAAGUCUUCAAGUUGAAGUAUUCAAGCCUGUUAAUUUUUCAAGUUGAAAUUUAAAAGUCCACUACUCUUUAGGUUGAAGCGUCAAAGUCCGCUGAAUCUUCAAAUCCAUCAAAUUUUCAAGUUUGUCGGUCUUCAAGUUGAAGUCUGCAAAAUUCGCCAAAUCUUUAAAGUUCGCAAAAUAUUCAAGUCGAUGUCGUCAAGUCCACCAAGUCUUCGAGGUGAAGGUUUCUAGUCUUCCAAUUGAUGAUAGGCUAUAAUCCCGUAUUUUAGUCGCUCAUUGCACUCUAAUUUACUGCACUUUACUUGUGUUGAGCCUUAAUUGGUAGUAUUUUUGCACUUAUUGUGUGUUUCAUGCCUUGUAGGAGUGAUUCCGAGUUAUGUAGAUGUUAUAGAGCUAAUUCAAGCUAUUUGGAGCUUUGAAGUCUCAGUAGAAGCCCAAGCAAUUAAGUCGGGAUCACGUUCGGGGGUCGAAGACCAAGUCUGGACAUAAAAAAAAAUGAGAAAACGAGUUCACUCUGAGAAAAUUGUAAUACCGUCUCGUGGGCCUCAUAGCGCUAGUGCAAUUUUCCUGCAAAGUGAAAAAACUCAAUUUCUGGCCAAAUUUACACUGUUGCGCCGCAUGGGACGGCGCGAGGCGCAACACGGCAGUGCAAAAAGUGGCUAGAAAUGAUUUUUUGGCACGUUCUGGAAUUCCCAACAUGCGCGCCGGAUGGGGCGGCGCGGGACGCGUCGCGGUAGCACAAAAAUAUUAGAGUGACUUCCCAUUUUCGCUAAAAAGGGUAGUUUCGUCCGGGGUUUAUUUUGGGGGCUGUUUAAAAACACCAAAACACCAUUUUAGAUAGACUUUUGAUACAAUUUCGACCAAAGGAGGCGAAGGAGGCUAAGGAGGAGUUGGAAGAACACAAGCACAAGGAUUUCAUCAUUCCUUCCUCACUCAAGAUCCAGGUUUGGAUUAAAUUUAUGUUUUCCUACACUUUAGUUACAUUUGUGAAGAACUUCUCCAUGUCUAUGGAGUAGAUCCUUUUGGGUUUUGAUGGAUUUGGUGUGUUGAUGAUUGUUUGUGGAUUAUAACUCUAUUUUUAUGUAUUUGAAUCGUUUUUGAAAGAUUUAAUUAUUGCAUCUAUAUUCACUUGUUCUUGUAAUCGAAAGAGGCACAACUUAUGAUAUCUUUGCAUUAUAUUGUUGGUUGAGUUCAUAGAUUCUUCUAAGUAAUCGAAAGAGGCUAGAUGAAUCAUUGAUUAAAUCUAGUUAGGAGAAUAAUCGAAAGAGGUUUUCCUAAAGACCGAUCCACUAUACAUUCCUGCAUAUCUUCAUAGUGCUUAAAUUGGUUCAUCUCGUGAGGUUAAGACUUAAUCGAGAGAGGAGUUUUUGCUGAAUGUUUGAACUAAUAAUAGAGUGAAUUCGAGAGAUUCACUUGAACAUUGGAAGUAAAUUAUCUAGAGUUAGAUCCCGAACAAUUAUCUUGCACUUAUUCUGUCAAAACCCUAUCCUUUUCUACUUAUAACCUUAAUUGCUUAUUCCUUGUUUCGAUAGUCACUAGUCAAUAACUGUAGAUUUUAGAUUCUUAGUUAAAUUUUAUUAUUAAUCAUAUAAAUCCCAACCGUUGAUCCUCCUGGAUAGCAAUCAAGCUAGAAACUACGAGAAUACUAUUUAAAUCCAAUCCCUAUGGACACGAUAUUAUACUAUACUAUCUUUGACUAACGAGUACAAUUUAAGUGUGUGUUUUGCGUUUGUCACCAAUCUUAAGGUGGACAUUUAAAUCCCUUUGCACCUUAAGUUGGUCUUUUAGCGGAUUUAUCCUUAAAAGGCACUAUAAUUUUUCAAUCUUAAGGUGGACAUUAAGUCCCUUUGCACCUUAAGUUGGUUUAUUCAUGGAUUUUUCCUUAAAAGGAACCGUAAUUUUCCAAGCUUAAGGUGGACAUGUUAGUCCCUUGCACCUUAAGUUGGCCUCUUCGCGGGUUUGUCCUUAAAAGGAACAAUAAUUUUCCAAUCUUAAGGUGGAUAUUUAAGUUCCUUUGCACCUUAAGUUGGCCUUUUCGUGGGUUGUCCAUAAAAGAAUCUAUAAUUUUCUAGUCUUAAGGUGGACAUUAAGUCCCUUUGCACCUUAAGCUAGUUAUAGAUUUGUUCCUUCUAUAUGUUGUUACUAAUUUGAUCCUUCUAUAUGCGGCUAUAGAUUUAUUCUUCAAUAUGUUGUUACGGAUUUGAUCCUUCUAUAUGCUGUUAUGAAUUUGUUCUUCUAUGUUGUCGAGGAUUUGUCCUUCUAUAUGUUGCGAGGGAUUUGUCCUUCUACAUGUUGUUGUGGAUUUGAUCAUCUAUAUACCGUCAUGGACUUGGCACUGGGCGACUCUUACUUACUUGACCUACAAAAAAAAAAGGGACAGAAAAAGGCAACAGAAAAUACAGAAGAAGAAGUUACCUCCGCUAAUGCUGUCUAUUCGUCAAAGCACGGAGCUGAGAUGGCUUGCAUAUGUUGCUAUGCGAUGAUCGAUGAACCUACGAGCAUGAGUUUAUAUAGCUAUCAAAAUAUGGUAUUAAAUAUUUUUUUGGCGAUGGGGGAUCAGUUGUUUAGGCGGCUCCAAAGUUUUAGUUUCCAACAUGAACUAGGAUACGGUAGCUUGAUCCAAGUAGAAAUCUAAUUAAGCAGGUGAAGGAAGCUUGAUUUU